GCUGAGAAGAGGGGGCAGCCCCAUCCAGCCACACGCUCUGGGGAAUGAAGGCCAGAGCCUGAGAAAGCAGUGAGAGUGACUCUUUGCAGCGGUUGCCAGGGGAGGGAUUGGGCAGAGGACCAGCCCACUUCUGCAGACUCCGUUCUGCCUCUGGCUGGCUGGGGGCUGCUGGAACUUUAUCCCCAGGCUGAUCCUGACGAGGGGAAGAGCUCCGAAAUUUCAGAUGUGAGAGCCAGCUCCCCUGCCUGGGAGUGAAGGUGGCUCUGAUGCUGGUGAAUGGACAGGAGCCCCACUGGUCCAGUGAGGGACAGUCCAGGCUACCAGAACUGUGGAACAAUCUAUCGCUGUGAGAAGGAACUACUCCAUAUGCAAGACAGACAAAUCUCACAAACAUACUGUGGAGUGAAAGAAGGCAGACACAAAAGAGUACUGUGAAAUCCCAUUUAUAUCAAGCUCGGAAACAGGCCACACCAAUCUGCGAUGUGAGGAGUCAGGAUAGUGGUUCCUUUGUUGGCGUUAGCAACUGGGAGGGCAGGAGGGCUUCAGGGGUGCUGUUGAUGUACCAAUUCUUUGUCUGGGUGCUGCUUACAUGGCUGUAGACACGCUGAGCUGUCCACUGAGGGACGCAUUUCUGUAUGUAUGUUAUAUUUCAAUCAAGUUUCCUUUAAAAAGAACCAGAAUGUAAUCUUUGAAAGAAGUGGCGACAGGAAGAAUAAAUUCCUGUGUGCCAACCACAAGGAAGUCUCCGAGGGUUGGUGUGACAGAACGGCACUCCCCCCACCCAGGGCAAAGAGAAGACUGGAUUUCCAACUGCACCCUGUUAUCUGCUGCUGGUCUAGGAAGCUGAGCUCCCCUGCACCUCGCUUUCUCUGCUGCAGAACAAAUGGGUUGGAAUCAAUUGCAUGGUCUCAGCGAGAAGAUUCCUCGUUCUUACCUGUUCCAGUGGAGACGGAAUAGGAUUUCAUGCUCAUUUUGCCUCUCAUGUGAUCUUCUUUGGGAAGAAUGAUCUUCAAGCUUGGUGAGGUCACAGAUCGCUUUUUACACUGUCAAAAUGUGCACACGUACACACACACACACACACACACGUGCACACCUAGGGGUAUGGGGCUCCUCUCAGUACCCUUUAUCCAUCAUCAGCCUCGACCUUCCCACGCGUCUCCUUCUUCACCUUCACCAUCCUUGAUCUGUAUUCCUUUCCAAGGGCCGCCAUACAAUGUGCCACCGACUGGAUGGCUUAGAACUACAGAAAAUUUUUGUCUCACAGGGACGAAGUCUACAAGUCCAAAAUCAAGGUGCUGGCAGAGCCAUGCUGUCUCCGAUGUCUCUCUCUGAACUUCCGAUAGCCGCCGGCUUUCCUUGGCUUGG